AUUCUCGGUUACAGUAGCUACUUCUGUAUUUGCAUUAGUCAUCACCUCAAUAAAUAGAACUGCUGUCAUGUAGAAAAUAUCUUCAACAUUCUAUAAAAAUUAUAAAUUUAACUUUACAGGUGAUGUAGAAAAGCGUUCAUAAUCUUAUAAUGCACACAAAGGACAUGUAGCACAGACUGUUGAAACUAGGAUUUUCAGGCAACUGCAAGUUUUGUUAGCAAGGUGGUAACAGUAGAGUGUGAUUGUUUCGUGGACCAAAAGCUUCCUGCUGUGAUCCCUGUUCUUAUUUCAUAAUGACUGAACCUGGGACUUUGACCUCUUAACCUACAGUGGCAGCUGAGAUUACUGAGACUGAAAAGUUAAGAAGCCUGGAAAGAAAAGGAGGACGCUGCAGAAAUACAGGCAACAAAGAGACAGAAGAAAUGAAGGGAAAUGGAGAGAUAUACACUAAGAAGA